ensembl:snRNA U6 U6 spliceosomal RNA
GUGCUCACUUCGGCAGCACGUAUACUAAAAUUGGACCGAUAUAGAGAAGAUUAGCACGGCCCCUACACAAGGAUGACACACAAAUUGGUGAAGCGUUCCAUAUUAAC